CCUACGGGCGGCAGCAGUGGGGAAUAUUGCACAAUGGGGGAAACCCUGAUGCAGCGACGCCGCGUGAGGGAAGAAGUAUCUCGGUAUGUAAAGCCCUAUUAGCAGGGAAGAAAAUGACGGUACCUGACUAAGAAGCCCCGGCUAACUACGUGCCAGAAGCCGCGGGAAUACGUAGGGGGCAAGCGUUAUCCGGAGUUACUGGGUGUUAAGGGAGCGUAGGCGGCUGCACAAGUCUGGAGUGAAAUCCCGGGGGUUAACCCCGGAACUGCUUUGGAAACUGUGCGGCUGGAGUGCAGGAGGGGUAAGCGGAAUUCCUGGUGUAGCGGUGAAAUGCGUAGAUAUUAGGAGGAACACCGGUGGCGAAGGCGGCUUACUGGACUGUAACUGACGUUGAGGCUCGAAAGCGUGGGGAGCAAACAGGAUUAGAUACCCCUGUAGUC
rnacentral:rRNA from 1 species